UAUGUGUGAUAAAUUGUCAGAAUACAAUUUUGGAGAGGCUCCAUCUCAGCUGCAAUAAUCUUAAACCUCUUGGAAAGGUUUCUCUUGUUAAUGCAUUUGAUAAUUCUAACUUCUUUUUGUAACUUAUUUGGACAAGUUUCAUGAGAUCGACAUUUAUUUUUUACAUGUUCGGUGUUUUUUUUUUUUUUUUUUUGGCUCAAACCUAUAUGGUUAGUAGUAAUACAUUUUUCAGUCAUGGCUUUUCGAAAGACAAAUUUUAUUUUCGGGAUUUAAUUUAGAUUUCGAAUCCAUUUGCAAGAAAUUUUGCUAGAUUAGUCUCCAAGGUGUGGGAGCAGGCAUAUCCAGAUUUGUCGGAAGGAAAAUAUGAAUCAAAUUCUUAGAGAAAUUAUGUGGAUAUUGGUAUAGUUUGAAAAUAUAAGAAUUUGUGCGUUGUGGAUAUGAAAAUCAGGGCUGCAGACCCUCAUCCUUCACAUUUUAGUUUCUCCUUUUGCUUCUCCCUUUUGGGAUUUUGUGGAACCAAAUUUGUAAUUUUUGUGUAUUAUGAAAGUUGAAUACGUGGGAAUCAACCAGUUCUUCAUUUUUCGUCUAUAUGGAGAAUGCUGUUUUUUGCACUUUUAUGGUUCGACAAAGUCUAUCGUUUGACCCAAAAAACAAAAAAAAACAAAAUCUCUAAGGGUUAAAAUUUCUGGUACUUUCCUUGGUGAGGGGUUGGUUUCGAAUUUCUAGGUUUAAAGCAGAUCGAUUUUUAUAUUUAGGUUUAAUAUCAGCAAUUAAUGAAAGACGAAUUUUACCUUUUUCGAGUAUUUCAUCAGUACCAGCUUGCUGUAUUUAUUAUUCUGUAGGUGUAAAUAUAGUUCCCUAAGCAAGCUAGCUUAUUUUUCAACUUUUUAACUGAUGUGUGACUUCUAACUGUUUUUUUUCAUAUUUCUUCUUUUAUAUUCUGAUUAUUGAAUUUGAAAUCACUUAAUGAAAUGAAAUUGCCAAACCAUGUUAGAGUGUAAUUUUACGCGUUCCAUUUGAGUUUACAAACAACAUUUGCAUUCACAUGUAUCUUUUGUUCAAUGCCUAUCACCAGUUUGAUAAAAUAUGUCAGAGAAACACGCACGGUUUUCUCGAUUCUUUGUUCUUUAUUUUUAGAUGUUUCUGGAUUUAGAAUUUUAUGGUUGAAAUGCCUCUGCGCAUUGGGUCUAAAUUGCAGGUGAGAAAACAGAGAGCCAGCAAAGCUUCGUAGAGAGGAGGCAUGAGUUUCCUACGAUGUAGAAUUAUCUACAGACUAGUUCUCAAAGGUGGUUACAGUGGAGACCAAUAUUCAAAACACAGUGAACAAGUUUUUACAAGCUAAUCCCACCGGUAAUAGAAACCACAUCCUUUGUCUCUCUGCUUACAUGCUUUUUAACAUGGAGAGAAAUUUAAUCUGUAUUUCAAAAUUAGUGGUUCUUGAUGUUCAACCGUAGGGAAAUGAUUCUUGAAAUUGUAUUUUGGAAUUAGUGAUCUUCAUUCAGAACAAAAGGACUAAUUUCCUUCCUACAUUCCACAUGUAUGUAAAUAGUAUCGCUAUUAUAUAUAUAUA